rnacentral:lncRNA from 1 species
UCUCUGCGAAAUUUGUUUCGCUUGCAGUUUGACGACACUUGCCGGAGUGACCGUGACCCCGCGUCAGCGAUGCACCGUGUCUGAUUAAAGUAAGGAAGAAGAAGGGGUAACGGGCCGCAACGGCAACAAAUGAAUCAUUUAUAGAUGCUAAAUCGUAUAGAAACGAUCACAAUUGAGAGAGGAGAGAUACACUGUUCAGUAGCGCAAUUCGUGAAGUAGAAAGGAAAGAGGAGGGACCCAUUAGGCAGUACGUAAAUCGUUGAACGCUCGUAUGGAGGCGUGCACAUCGAAGGUGGCACGCAAUAGGACGACGAGUGGCUGCUGCUCGACGCGCAUCUUCGUGUACGAGUCGAUAAGUUAGUAGCAAGAAGGACGGCAUAUCGAGAAGUGGAAGAAGAGUAACUCGUGCAGUAAUUGUGUGAGAAAGGAGAAGAAGAAGAAAAAGAAAAAGAGCGUCGUUGUAAGCUUACGUAAAAGAGAAAAUAAUAAAAGGUCGAUAGAAGAGAGUGCGCGUUCGUGCGUCACACGAUGGAACGAAGGUAAAUGGCACGCGAGGGACCUUGACGAGUACACAUCUAGGCCAUAGACCUUGAACUUUGUGUCUAGAUCACGCUUCGGACAUACAAUUCAGCCGCCAAAUCAGGAACUCACUCUUGUUACGAGACAUAUCGGCUAUAAACGAAAGAAACAACUAGGAUAUAUAAUAAAUAAUACAAAAAGAAACAAAAUGGAGGUUACGAUAAGUAUUCUAAGGGGUAGUUCCCUCCUACGUUUUCAUUGGUCCAAGUCAAUAUAUCUAAUUGGUCGAAAUACGAACAGGUCCUUCCUUCCCUAGUCCCCUCCUAUUGGCUGGAAGAAAGGCCGGUUUUUAAAACGAAACUUUGCGACUAGCGGAAAAAUACGAUCGAUCCCGAAGGAGUUCAACGGAAAUAAAGAAGCGUAGAGAGAGAAAGAGAGAGAGAGAGAGAGAGAGAGAGAGAGCGCGAGAGGUUCAGACAACCUUGACUUUAGUGACGUCACCGGAUACCGUUGUGGAUAGCGCCUUGCGAACUUUGUGAAUGGCAUCCGGGUGUGCGUGCUAGCACGCGUUCUUUCGCGCGUGGGUGCGUUCACAUGCAAGCUUUACGUGAACGCGCGUCUCAAUGCUGUGUCUGGAAUAUUCAGACAUGAAACAAUAAUAAAGAUUGGUCUACAUUUCAUUCGAAAUUCAACCAAUCUUUUUAUUUGAAUUCGACACAUAACUCACAGCCAUCAAAUUAUUAAUCCGUUUAGAUCAAAUCCAAUUCGAUCAUCGAUUAGAAAUUCUAAGUUUUUCUAGUGAUUUUUAAAUUUCGCGGGAUAUAACAUUAUUCUUUGUGAUCCCCCUUUAUGCAGCAUCAUUUUUAUUUCCGCGCUCUUUUCCAUGGCGCAUGCGUACGCAUCCACGGCAUUAAUGAUCACCGCGCAUGCGCGAAGGGAAAAUUCGUCGUAUUCCGAAAUACCGUGUGAUAUCCAUGACAACGAGGAUCAAAGACCGGUUCUUAUAUUUUUUCACCAGCCAAUAUGGAUUAUUCUUUAGAGAUUUUCUAAAAAAAAAAAAAGAAAUAAACUAAUUAUCGAAAUGACGAAAGAGUGACGAUAUUUCGUUAGAAAUAUAGAAUGAAAUAUACAGAUAAGAAAUUAUGAAAAUAUAUAUUUUAUGAUCAUGUCAAGUGUUAAUUUAAAAUGGUACUUUAAUUUUCUUUUCUAGAAGUUAAGAAUUUAAAAAGAACACAUCCUAAAUAGGAAAGCUAACAUUUAUUUCGUAUAUUGAAAAUCUUUACGUGUAAAUUUAAUCAUUUCGCAUAUAUAUAAUGAAGAAUAGUUGAUAACAUGACUAUCGUAGUACAACACUCUGAAUACGAUUCGAACGAGGAAAAACAAAGAUAUCAAAUUGAAAGUUUCUUUAUUCGUUAUAGCUUCGAUAAGAUUAUUUCUUCGCGGAAUGUAGUAUCCGCGUUGGGAUGCGAGUGUAAAGUAGAACAUGGAAUGCAGAAACGCUUUGGGAUAUAUAAUCACAUUAGUGCAGAACAAAGAACAACGUAGAUCGUUCGUGAUUCAUUUCCGAGAGUGCACGCACUUCAAGGCCGAUGAACGACCCAACAGACGUUUCUGUUUUGGUCUUUGUCUCUUUGCUCAAAGCAAAGACAAAAAGAAUUCCAAAGACUGUAUACUUUAUUUUAGAACACAAUCUAUUUACAUGAAAGCAUGAUAGGAAAAAACCAAAUUCGAGAGAAAGGAUAUUUCAAAUAUAAUUAUUUUUGAAAUGAAAAUAAGAAUAUUUUUUGAAAUCAAUUCCAAGAUGGAAGACUUGAUUAUGCAUAUUGACUAAACCGAACGUCA